UACGGAGAGUGCAAGCAUUAAUCGGAAUUAUUGGGCGUAAAGGGCGCGUAGGCGGGAAGACAAGUCAGAUGUGAAAUUCCGAAGCUCAACUUCGGAGCUGCAUUUGAAACUAUCAUUCUAGAGGGUUGACGGAGAAAACGGAAUUCCAAGUGUAGCGGUGAAAUUCGUAGAUAUCGGGAGGAACACCAGUGGCGAAGGCGGCCACCUGGACGGCUACUGACGCUGAGACGCGAAAGCGUGGGGAGCAAAC
rnacentral:rRNA from 1 species